CCACCGUCGAUGUGCACGAGCCCACGUUUCACGAGCCGAGGACCGGGACAGUCAGACGCAGCCCCGUGCCAGAACGAGCAGGUGGACCCGUGGCACGCGGUCGGUUCUCGCGCCUGCCAGCCGUUCCUCGGCAGUAGUGGCUUCGCCGGCGUUCGACAGCCCAGGUCUUCGCCAUGAGUGAAGCGUCGUCUGCAGCCCCGGAGUCGUCAUCUGCGGCGCC